AACGAACGCUGGCGGCAUGCCUAACACAUGCAAGUCGAACGAGACCUUCGGGUCUAGUGGCGCACGUGUGCGUAACGCGUGGGAACCUGCCCUUAGGUUCGGAAUAACUCCCCGAAAGGGGUGCUAAUACCGGAUAAUGUCUUCGGACCAAAGAUUUAUCGCCUUUGGAUGGGCCCGCGUUGGAUUAGCUAGUUGGUAGGGUAAAAGCCUACCAAGGCGACGAUCCAUAGCUGGUCUGAGAGGAUGAUCAGCCACACUGGGACUGAGACACGGCCCAGACUCCUACGGGAGGCAGCAGUGGGGAAUAUUGGACAAUGGGCGAAAGCCUGAUCCAGCAAUGCCGCGUGAGUGAUGAAGGCCUUAGGGUUGUAUAGCUCUUUUACCCGGGAUGAUAAUGACAGUACCGGGAGAAUAAGCUCCGGCUAACUCCGUG
rnacentral:rRNA from 1 species